UACGAAGGGGGCUAGCGUUGCUCGGAAUGACUGGGCGUAAAGGGCGCGUAGGCGGCUUGCACCGUCAGAUGUGAAAUUCCUGGGCUUAACCUGGGGGCUGCAUUUGAUACGUGUGGGCUUGAGUGCGGAAGAGGGUCGUGGAAUUCCGCGUGUAGUGGUGAAAUACGUAGAGAUUGGGAAGAACACCAGUGGCGAAGGCGGCUAUCUGGACGGUUUCUGACGCUAAGACGCGAAAGCGUGGGGAGCAAACAGG
rnacentral:rRNA from 1 species